rnacentral:rRNA from 1 species
AGCGAACGCUGGCGGCAGGCCUAACACAUGCAAGUCGAACGGAUCCUUCGGGAUUAGUGGCGGACGGGUGAGUAACACGUGGGAACGUGCCCUUUGGUUCGGAACAACUCAGGGAAACUUGAGCUAAUACCGGAUGUGCCCUUCGGGGGAAAGAUUUAUCGCCAUUGGAGCGGCCCGCGUCUGAUUAGCUAGUUGGUGAGGUAACGGCCCACCAAGGCGACGAUCAGUAGCUGGUCUGAGAGGAUGAUCAGCCACACUGGGACUGAGACACGGCCCAGACUCCUACGGGAGGAAGAAGUGGGGAAUCUUGCGCAAUGGGCGAAAGCCUGACGCAGCCAUGCCGCGUGAAUGAUGAAGGUCUUAGGAUUGUAAAAUUCUUUCAGCGGGGACGAAAAUGACGGUACCCGCAGAAGAAGCUCCGGCUAACUUCGUG